CUGGCCCCUGUACGGGAAUGAGGGCUGCGGGUGGGCAGGCUGGCUUAUGUCCCCCCGCGGCUCUCGCCCUAGUUGGGGCCC
rfam:Hepacivirus hominis isolate HCV153 polyprotein gene, complete cds